UUCAAAAUCUUCUUGAUAUCAAAUGUAUCAUAUUAUGAAAAUCGUCAACUGAGAACCCUAAAAAAACAAAAUUCUGAGGUCAAAGCCACACAGCAUGAGCAAUAGUGUCUUGAACUUCCUUUAUCAAUGCCAAGCUGAAGAGACCAUCUUUACAGGUUGGCGGACCUACUCCGG